GCUGCCAAGUUUGGCAUCCCACCCCCGCCGCCGUUCCUCUCCCUGUCCUUGGCGGACGACGACUUCCUCGCCGGCGUCAACUUUGCGUCUGGUGGCGCCGGCAUUCUGAACGAGACCGGCGUCUACUUUGUCGAGUACUUCUCGUUCGACGAGCAGAUAUCGUGCUUCGAGACUGUCAAGAGGGCGAUGAUCGCCAAGAUCGGCAAGGAGGCCGCCGAGAAGACUGUCAACGCGGCGAUGUUCCAAAUUGGACUCGGGAGCAACGACUACAUCAACAACUUCCUGCAGCCGUUCAUGGCGGACGGCACCACGUACACGCACGACCAGUUCAUCCGCCUCCUCGUUGCCACUCUAGACCGGCAGCUCAAGAGGCUGUACGGGCUCGGCGCGCGGAAGUUGGCGUUCAACGGGCUGCCCCCGCUGGGCUGCAUCCCGUCGCAGCGCGUCAAGUCGGCAACCGGGGAGUGCAUCGCCCAGGUGAACAGCUACGCCGUGCAGUUCAACGCAGCCGCCAAGAAGCUGCUCGACGGCAUGAACGCCAAGCUGCCCGGCGCGCAGAUGGCGCUCGCCGACUGCUACUCCGUCGUCAAGGAGCUCAUCGAUCACCCAGAGAGAAACGGGUUCACGACGUCCGACACGUCGUGCUGCGGCGUGGACACGAAGGUCGGGGGCCUCUGCCUGCCAGACUCGACGCCCUGCCGCGACCGCAAGGCGUACGUGUUCUGGGACGCGUACCACACCUCCGACGCCGCCAACCGGGUCAUCGCCGACCGCCUCUGGGCCGGCAUGACGACCGCGAGCGCUCCAGCUCCGGCUCCUCGCGCCGGCGCGCCCGGGCCAGCCGCGGUGCCGGCGCCUUCCCCUUCUCGGGCUUAA
rnacentral:rRNA from 1 species